rnacentral:lncRNA from 1 species
CAUUUAUUGUUCCAUGCAUGUGUCCAAAGAUUCGAUGGGAUGGAUGAAAAUUUUUUUGGUGGGGAACUAAACAGAGCCUUUUUUUAUCUAUAUUUAAUGCUCUAUGCAUGUGUCUAAAGAUUUGAUGUGAUGGAAGAAACUUUUUAGAGUAGGAACUAAACAAGGCCUAAGAUAAGACAUGGAGAGUACGGAAGUGAAACAAUGACACACAUUGCCGGCAAAUUUAUUGCGACUGUAGGAAUCACCGGACCUUGUUUAGUUCCAAAAUAUUUUGCAAAAUGGACACUGUAGCUUUUUCGUUUGUAUUUGACAAAUAUUGUCCAAUCAUGGACUAACUAGGCUCAAAAGAUUUGUCUCGUCAAUUCCGAUCAAACUGUGCAAUUAGUUUUUAUUUUUAUCUAUAUUUAGUACUUCAUGCAUGUGUCUAAAGAUUCGAUGUGACGGAGAAUCUGAAAGAUUUUGCAAAAUUUUUUGGGAACUAAACAAGGCCUUAAUUUCACGAAGGGGACAAAGUCAUAGACACACAAACCACUCACAACCCUCCCUGUCCGUCCGUUCCCAAUAACGAAAACUGACACGACGCAACGCAACGCAUCCUGAAUCACAACGCUCACACAGCAGCUGCCACGGCGUAAACCGCAGCCGCGGCGAGCCCGAGCACAAGACCCGCCGGUCCCCGGAGCGACGCACCGCCGCCAGAUGGCAGGGAAGGCGUCGCCUUCGAUCCGCCGCCGCCCGACGACCCUGCACGCAAGCAAGCAAUCAACCGCAAGAGGAGUCAAUUCAUCGCACCAAAAGUGAGCAAAAAAAAAAAAACAGAGUAAACAAUCAGCGUGAAAUGAAGCCGAAACCACUUCGUCCGCGGCGGCCGGCCGGUUACAUACCGCUGCACUGGCUGGCGGGUGGGGUCUGGACGUUGCAGGCCGCGGGGAGGCCGAGCGCGCGCGACCGGUCGAUGGUGACGCCGCCGAGGGAGGACGAGGCGCCGUCGCUGCCGAGCGCGGCGCACAGGCACUGCGGCUUGGACUGCACCACGCUCUUGAGCUGCGAGCAGCACGACGCGCUGGGCGCCGACGUGUCGUUGCCGCUGAUGUAGUCCAUGCACGGGGACAGGCUCACCAGCGCCGACGUGCAGUCGUCGCUGCCGGACUGCGCCGACGCCGCCGCCGCCAGCAGCGCCACCGCGGCCGCGGCCAGGAGCCAGAACGGUGCCGCCCUCGCUCUCGCAGCCAUUAUAUAUUUCCUUGCUUGGAUUUGCUACUGUCUGGCGUGACCACCUAAAGCUUGCCAGGAAGUUCGUUGCUGGCUGAUUUGUCAGUCUGUUGCCGCUGCUUUUUGCU